rnacentral:rRNA from 1 species
UACGGAGGAUGCAAGCGUUAUCCGGAUUUAUUGGGUUUAAAGGGUGCGCAGGUUGUUUGAUAAGUCAGUGGUGAAAGUCUGGUCGCUUAACGGUAGGAUUGCCAUUGAUACUGUUAGACUUGAAUAUGGAUGAGGUAGGCGGAAUUUGUGGUGUAGCGGUGAAAUGCAUAGAUAUCACGAGGAACUCCGAUUGCGAAGGCAGCUUACUAAGCCAUAACUGACGCUCAAGCACGAGGGCGUGGGGAUCAAACAGGAUUA